rnacentral:rRNA from 1 species
UGCGGUGGUCAUGGCUCAGGUGAGACGCCCGGUCCCAUUCCGAACCCGGAAGCUAAGGCCUGACACGGUGAGGGUACUGCACUCGAUA